CCUACGGGAGGCAGCAGUGGGGAAUAUUGGACAAUGGGCGAAAGCCUGAUCCAGCAAUGCCGCGUGAGUGAUGAAGGCCUUCGGGUCGUAAAGCUCUUUUACCAGGGAUGAUAAUGACAGUACCUGGAGAAUAAGCUCCGGCUAACUCCGUGCCAGCAGCCGCGGUAAUACGGAGGGAGCUAGCGUUGUUCGGAAUUACUGGGCGUAAAGAGUACGUAGGCGGUUAUUCAAGUCAGAGGUGAAAGCCCGGGGCUCAACCCCGGAACUGCCUUUGAAACUAGAUAACUAGAGUCUUGGAGAGGUUAGUGGAAUUCCGAGUGUAGAGGUGAAAUUCGUAGAUAUUCGGAAGAACACCAGUGGCGAAGGCGACUAACUGGACAAGUACUGACGCUGAGGUACGAAAGCGUGGGGAGCAAACAGGAUUAGAUACCCUGGUAGUCCACGCCGUAAACGAUGAUAACUAGUUGUUCGGUCACUUGGUGACUGAGUGACGCAGCUAACGCAUUAAGUUAUCCGCCUGGGGAGUACGGUCGCAAGAUUAAAACUCAAAGGAAUUGACGGCUGAAGCNGCGAGCGACACGAGGAGAG
rnacentral:rRNA from 1 species